rnacentral:rRNA from 2 species
AUAAGCGGAGGAAAAGAAACCAACAGGGAUUGCCCUAGUAACGGCGAGUGAAGCGGCAACAGCUCAAAUUUGAAAUCUGGCGCAAGCCCGAGUUGUAAUUUGUAGAGGAUGCUUCUGGGCAGCGGCCGGUCUAAGUUCCUUGGAACAGGACGUCACAGAGGGUGAGAAUCCCGUAUGUGACCGGCGCGCACCCUCCACGUAGCUCCUUCGACGAGUCGAGUUGUUUGGGAAUGCAGCUCUAAAUGGGAGGUAAAUUCCUUCUAAAGCUAAAUACCGGCCAGAGACCGAUAGCGCACAAGUAGAGUGAUCGAAAGAUGAAAAGCACUUUGGAAAGAGAGUUAAACAGCACGUGAAAUUGUUGAAAGGGAAGCGCUUGCAACCAGACUUGUCGGCGGUGUUCCGCCGGGCUUCUGCCCGGUCCACUCGCCGCCGGCAGGCCAGCAUCACCCGGGACCGCUGGAUAAGACGCGGGGAAUGUGGCUCCCUCGGGAGUGUUAUAGCCCCGCGUGAUGCAGCGCGCCCCGGAUGAGGUCCGCGCUUCGGCAAGGAUGCUGGCGUAAUGGUUGUCAGCGGCCCGUCUUGAAACACGGACCAAGGAGUCUAACAUCUAUGCGAGUGUUCGGGUGUCAAACCCCUGCGCGUAAUGAAAGUGAACGGAGGUGAGAACUUCGGUGCAUCAUCGACCGAUCCUGAUGUCCUCGGAUGGAUUUGAGUAAGAGCAUAGCUGUUGGGACCCGAAAGAUGGUGAACUAUGCCUGGAUAGGGUGAAGCCAGAGGAAACUCUGGUGGAGGCUCGCAGCGGUUCUGACGUGCAAAUCGAUCGUCAAAUUUGGGUAUAGGGGCGAAAGACUAAUCGAACCAUCGACGACCAGUCUACUAGGUGGUUAACAGGGACGUAAAAGGCGAGCCCUAGUCGGGGGGUUUAUUCAACCCGGCGACAUCAUCAAAUUGCGGGGAGUCCCUAAAGCUCUACUCACCGCGGCCCGCCGAAAGGCAGGGUGCAGCACCAGGGUAAUGACCUCGGGUACGGUAAAAGCGUGUAGAGAUGUGCGACGGGCGCACAAUGGGUGAUCCGCAGCCAAGCGCUAAGGGGCGUACAGCCCUACGCGUGCAGUUCAACGACUCGAUGGUGAUGGGCCGACGGCGAUCCAGCCGGGGGUCUAAGAUAGAGUCUACUCCCCGGUCGAGAGGCCGGGGUGGGGGUGGCCCUGCGCCGCCCCC